UACUUUCUACCUAUUCCAUUGUCUUUAAUUGCUUCAACCAGUUCAGUUAUGCUAGCAUUGAUGGCAUCACAAGUUUCAGUUAAGCACAUAUAAUUCUUAUUUGGUAACAGUUGUUCUUAAUAUAUAUCAGUUUCUGUUUUGCGCUUAGUGUGGGCAAGCUUACUGCACAUACAUUACAUGGAGUAAUAAUCAUGCAACCCUCCAUCUCCUGCUUAAUUUAUUCAAAAGUCCAUGUAUCUUUGCGUAUGUUAAUCUUUUAUGUGUCACUACCAGCAGCAUGAAAGAUUUUGUGUGCAAAAAACAUAUACUUACUUCGUAGGUUCGUGCAGCAAAACUGUUUUGCAUUGCUUCUCUUUUAAUAAAAUUGUUCCUUACUUCAUAGCUAUAGGUUCAUACAGUGGUAAAAUUUUCUGCGAGUCGAUUGCCUAUUUUUUGCUAUCCAUUUUAUUCAAUUUCUCAGUCUUGCAAGCAUUUCUAAAGUUCAAUGGUAAAUACAGUAGAACCUCAUGCUUAUAUGAAUAUAGUACAACUCAAUAAUGCCUUCCAGUGUCCAAUAUGCUGAACGGAUGGAGAAUCUUGGGCUGCAUAGCCAUUCAGAUGACAAGCAAGAAUAUGUACAGCACCUUCAUUUACAAAUCUCAUUUCCAUAUCAGACAACAUCAGAUAUAGAAGAGGAUAUCAUCUCUGCAAUUGAAAAGAAGAUAAGGCAGGCCAAAGCAUGGCUACUGCACCAACCAAGAAACAAGUCAACAAAGAGCUCUUCCCACGCAAAUAAGGAUGUUGGCACUCCUCGCAAAACGAAGAUUCACCUAAAAGAACGACUCAGAUCAGCCAAGAACCGAAAGCAAAGGAGAGAAACCGAUGAAGCAAUAAUUUUGUACAGUACUACCAAUCAGUGAGUUAUGUAUAGUAUUAUGGACCUACCAUCUGUUCUACACGAUAAGUACUUGACGUAUUGUAGUAGGAGUAUUAGGUAUCCAUCACCUAACUAUGUAUAAUUGCCCUAAUCAUACUCCCAAUGUUUUUGCAAUACUCUGUUUGAUGCAGCUGAUUGUUCUGGAUGCUCUGUAUAAUAUUAUGAAACUACAUACUGUUCCAACCAACGAGAACGUUCAAAAAUCCUAGGCAUAAACAUUUGCUGGAAGGCUGCAUACAAGUAUCUUGAUCAUGCUUCUUCGCCUCCAUGAUGCACUGUCACAGCUAUUGGCUCUUGUGACUGAUGAGCAGAGUAAUCGGUACUGCAUCAGCAUCCGUGUGAUUGUCGAACCAAAUCAACGGCCUCACCAAGCAAUGAACCGUUUCUGUUCGAUGAUGUAGCGUUUAUUCUAAGCCAUAUUCAGCGCGGCGUGCCGCCGCGCCAGA